rnacentral:rRNA from 1 species
UGGGGAAUAUUGGACAAUGGGGGCAACCCUGAUCCAGCAAUGCCGCGUGAGUGAUGAAGGCCUUCGGGUUGUAAAGCUCUUUUGGCGGGGACGAUGAUGACGGUACCCGCAGAAUAAGCCCCGGCUAACUUCGUGCCAGCAGCCGCGGUAAUACGAAGGGGGCAAGCGUUGUUCGGAAUUACUGGGCGUAAAGGGCGCGUAGGCGGCCGAUCAAGUCAGGCGUGAAAUUCCCGGGCUCAACCUGGGGGCUGCGCUUGAUACUGAUUGGCUUGAAUGCGGGAGAGGAUAGUGGAAUUCCCAGUGUAGAGGUGAAAUUCGUAGAUAUUGGGAAGAACACCAGUGGCGAAGGCGGCUAUCUGGCCCGUGAUUGACGCUGAGGCGCGAAAGCGUGGGGAGCAAA